rnacentral:rRNA from 1 species
CACGUAGGGGGCGAGCGUUGUCCGGAUUUAUUGGGCGUAAAGAGCUCGUAGGCGGUUCGGCAAGUCGGGUGUGAAAUUUCGAGGCUCAACCUCGAAACGCCACUCGAUACUGCUGUGACUGGAGUCCGGUAGAGGAGUGCGGAAUUCCUGGUGUAGCGGUGAAAUGCGCAGAUAUCAGGAGGAACACCAACGGCGAAGGCAGCACUCUGGGCCGGGUACUGACGCUGAGGGAGCGAAAGCGUGGGGAGCAAACAGG